GACGAACCGUGCGAACGUUGUUCGGAUUCACUGGGCUUAAAGGGCGCGUAGGCGGGCGGUCAAGUCAGGGGUGAAAUCUUUCGGCUCAACCGGAAAAGUGCCUUUGAUACUGGCCGUCUCGAGGGAGGUAGGGGCAUGCGGAACUUCCGGUGGAGCGGUGAAAUGCGUAGAUAUCGGAAGGAACACCGGUGGCGAAAGCGGCGCGCUGGACCCCUUCUGACGCUGAGGCGCGAAAGCCAGGGGAGCAAACGGG
rnacentral:rRNA from 1 species